GGAGAGAGGGAGGCGACGGCGGCAACGGGAGGCGACGGCGGCGGGGAAAGGCGACGGGGGAAAGGCGACGGCGGCGGGCAAAGCACAACGGCGCCGACAAGAUCCUCCUCCGGCGACUGGUCUCCGCCGGAGGUCCUUUGGCGGCGGCGGCGUGGUUUCCGGCGUUCGGCGGUGAGCGCAACAUGACUUCUAAUGUUCUGUCAAACUGUAUGACAAUGAGUUUAUGGUGACGAUUGCUCAUCUGUUGGGUCGAACAUUUAUUUAUAUGUGUGUUCUUGUUUAAGAAAAUCGCAUGACAAAUUUGCAUGACACGAAAUUUAUGUUAAAGCCAAAGUUUUUAAUUUA